rnacentral:rRNA from 1 species
AUUGAACGCUGGCGGCAGGCCUAACACAUGCAAGUCGAACGGUAACAGGAAGCAGCUUGCUGCUUCGCUGACGAGUGGCGGACGGGUGAGUAAUGUCUGGGAAGCUGCCUGAUGGAGGGGGAUAACUACUGGAAACGGUAGCUAAUACCGCAUAAUGUCGCAAGACCAAAGAGGGGGACCUUCGGGCCUCUUGCCAUCGGAUGUGCCCAGAUGGGAUUAGCUUGUUGGUGGGGUAACGGCUCACCAAGGCGACGAUCCCUAGCUGGUCUGAGAGGAUGACCCGCCCCCAGGGGACCAGGACCCCGGACCAGCCCCCUGGGGGAGGCAGAGGGGGGAAUUUUUGCAAAAGGGGCGCAAGCUGGAUGCACCCAUGCGGGGUGAAGAAAGAAGGCCUGGGGGUUGUAAAGUACUUUCGGGGGGGAGGAGGGAAUAAAAGUAAAUACCUUUGCUCAUUGAGGUUCCCCGAAGAAGAAGCACCGCCUACCCCCGU